rnacentral:snRNA from 1 species
GGAUGUGAGGGUGAUCUGGCUGCGACAUCUGUCACCCCAUCGAUGCCAGGGUUAAUUUGGCUGAUCUGGCUGGCUAGGCGGGUGUCUCUUCCUCCCUCACCACUCCAUGUGUGUCCCUCCUGAAGCUGCGCACCUUCCCCAAAUGGACGAGGACUAGUCUUCGGUCAAGGGUACACAAGUAGCUGUUCUCCUCUACUAGAACUCCAAACAGGCUCUCAAGGUCCUGUUCUUUUCUUUUGAGACAGGGUCUCUCUACACAGUCCUGGCUGUCCUGGAACUCACUAAGUAGACCAAGCUG